ensembl:lncRNA
AUGCUUCAGUCCAUGGGGUUUCAAAGAGUUGCACAUGACUUAGCAACUAAACAACAACACACUUUACAUGGUCAGUGGGCAGACACGUGGACUCCUGCUUGGAUGUGGAUUUCCAGGGACCACUCGGCGUUCUUGGUACCAGGAAUCGGAACCACCAGUCUGGCUGUCACAGCCAAGUUUGGCCAGCCUGGCUUUAGCUAUUUCCUCAUUCUCAGCUAGCAUCACUGCCAGUCUUGCCAGCAUAUCUAGAGGCCUAAUCCAGACUCUCAUGGAGGCUAAGCCCGUGACCUUCUCUGCCAGAAUGGUGAUCCCUCUUCUUGCCUGUUGGACCCUUGACAUAAGAAGCUCAAAGUUCCUGCAUGGAAGCCAAGACUUAAUGUUCCAGAAACUCUUGCUGUGCCUUCUGGUAGAGCUGUGUGUCAAACACUAUACAGGACUCCACUUGGUGUUCUUGGCUAAGGCUGUGGGUAGGAAGGGCAAAUCCAUAACUGGAUUAUCUGUUCAUUCCAGUGAAAGUAGACUGUUACCCAGGGCAGAUGCGCAAAGGGGCUGCUUUUUAUUGCUCCAUGUAAGACAGACUUUGGCUUCAAGCUGCCCUCAGAAAAGGAGUAUAACCUUGGGUGAGAUGGCUUCUAGACAUGAACUGGUAAAAGUUUAACGAUUAACAACCUGAAAAGAAGUUCUGAUUUUUAGUGUUUUCUGAUUUUCAUGAUGUCGAUAAGGGGUUGGAAAACUACAGCAUGCUGGCCCACCAGCUGGUUUUAUAAAUAACAUUCUAUUGGAAGACAGACACAUCCAUUUGUUUAAAAAAAAUAUAUAUUGGUAUGGUUGUUUUUUUGUAACAAUGGCCCACCAGGCUCCUCUGUCCAUGGGACUUCCAGGCCAGAAUACUGGAGUGGUUUUCCAUUUCCUUCUCCAGGGGAUCUUCCCAACCCAGGAAUCAAAACUGGGUCUCCUGCAUUGCAAGCAGAUCCUUCACUGUCUGAACUACCAGCAAAGCCCAUUGUGCUAAUUGUCAACAUCAUUUAAAAUGGGACUUCCUGAUCAGGUCUGUUAUAAAGACAGUUCAUGGUCUACUGAAAAUGAUGGUAUUUAAGAGGUCAAUAAAUCACAUCUACCUCCGACCA